AAGGGGUUUCAACAACUGCAUCACAUUUGCAGCAGCGUCAAGACUCAGAUCAUCUUCUCCUCUAACGAAAGAAACUAGAGACACCUCCACUCAACCGGCCACCACUGUACCGUCCACGCCGUCGUCAACAACGAUACUUGUUGACGGAGCCACCAGGUCGAGGCCCUCAUCCCCGUCGAGCUCCCUUCGUCUCCAUCGUGCCGCCGCCACUGCCUAGCUCUCCCCGCCCUAGGUCACGAUGCCGUUUGUUACCAGGACCGUCGGCGACGAUGCCGGUCACUAUCGGGGUCUCGUUCUGUGCCCCGCUUCGUUUCGAACAGAGCAAUCCCACACCAACGUCCUCUACUGUCGUGAUUUCUCGAGAUUUCCAAUCACUCACGCUCCGCCAAGCUAGGGUCGACACCGGCGGCAUCGGGCUCUUGUCACCACCAACGCGUCGCUGCCACCGUCAAACCAGCCACCAGUGUUGACCAGAACCGAUGGCACUGCGCUCCUUCUUCCUCCUUGUGGGAUCGGUUUUCCCCCCAACUUGAGGCGCGAAAAACACCACCCGCGACUCUGCCACCGCCUCUGUUGGCACUCUUAGUUGCCACUCAUGGCUAUCAUCGGGCUAACAAAUGGAGUGGGUUCUCUCAUCUCUAUUAGAUAUUGACGAUGAAGAUUGCCAGCUUUGAGGCCUCUUCUCUGUUGGAUUGAUAUGGAGGAGUUGAUUUCUGAGGAGUUGAAUUUUGUUGAAUUAAUUGAGAAGUAAAUGACGGAUGUUGCUGGAGAUGGGGGGAUAAUCUCUCUCUUUCAUGCACAUAAUGGUGGAAGAUGGAGAAUAGGGUGGGAGGCCGAUAAAGGAAGUUAUUGGAGGUUAAUGAAGAUGCAAUGGAAGAUAUCGUAGCAAGCAAUGAUGCUCAACCUUUAUGGAAUUGCUGCUGGUCAAUUUCAAGAGAUGGCUCCCUCAGCACUGUUUAAUCCGGUGUUCCUUUUAAUAGGCGUAAGCCUAUCUCUGUUAUGCUGUCCUUGGUUUUAUUCUGUGUAAGUGGUAGAGCGAGAAUGAUGAAUGCAUUGAGGUAGUUCCCUAUUGAGCAUAGCAGAGGGGUGGAGCCAAAAAGGGUGGUGUCGUGUGUGUGAUGGGUGAAUAUCGGUUGUGCAUUGUGUCCUGGAGGAAAAAAAACGGGUUGAGGCUAAGAAGAAUACGUGGGUGAAUCAAUUGAUUGAAUGAAGGUGAGGAGGCAGUUACAAAUUUUUCUCUUUUUUUUUUCUUUUUUUUUUUUACAGCAGAGGAUGGAGGGGAGGUUUGUUUCACUGCCUGAGAGAGUGGAGGUGUAACUGCCCUCCUAAUAAAAAAAAUCCCAGAUUGCUCUCUCCAAAAUGAUUCAUCAUUAUCCACUUUAUUCUUUUC